rnacentral:tRNA from 1 species
ACAGUGGUGAUUCAGUGGUAGAAUUCUUGCCUUCCAUUUGGGAGAUCCGGGUUCGAUUCCUGGCCAGUGCA